rnacentral:rRNA from 1 species
UACAGAGACUGCAAGCGUUAUUCGGAUUCACUGGGCGUAAAGGGUGCGCAGGCGGUUGGGUGUGUCAGAUGUGAAAUCCCGAGGCUCAACCUCGGAACUGCGUCUGAAACUACUCGACUAGAGUAUUGGAGAGGGUAACGGAAUUCACGGUGUAGCAGUGAAAUGCGUAGAUAUCAGAAGGAACACCGGCGGCGAAGGCGACUCUCUGGUCCGUAACUGACGCUGAGUGUGCGAAAGCUAGGGGAGCAAACGGGAUUAGAAA